CCCCGAAAACCCAAGGUUUCCUCCGCAAGGUUCGUCCAUGGAGGGUGAGUCAGGGCCUAAGAUCAGGCCGAAAGGCGUAGUCGAUGGACAACAUGUCAAUAUUCCUGUACUACCCCUUGUUGGUACGGAGGGACGGAGGAGGCUAGGUUAGCCGAAAGAUGGUUAUAGGUUUAAGGACACAAGGUGACCCUGCUUUUUUAGGGUAAGAAGGGGUAGAGAAAAUGCCUCGAGCUGAGGUCCGAGUACCAAGCGCUGCAGCGAUGAAGUAUGAGCCCCGUGGACUAGCGAGUGCUUCUCCACGAGGCUCAUUCCAGGCGCUACGGCGCUGAAGUAUUUAACUGAUGCCAUACUCCCAGGAAAAGCUCGAACGACCUUCGACAAAAGGGUACUUGUACCCGAAACCAACACAGGUGGGUAGGUAGAGAAUACCUAGGGGCACGAGACAACUCUCUCUAAGGAACUCGGCAAAAUAGCCCCGUAACUUCGGGAGAAGGGGUGCCCCCUCACAAAAGGGGGCCGCAGUGACCAGGCCCAGGCGACUUUUUACCAAAAACACAGGUCUCCGCAAAGUCGUAAGACCAUGUAUGGGGGCUGACGCCUGCCCAGUGCCGGAAGGUCAAGGAAGUUGGUGAAUGGAUGACAGGGAAGCCGGCAACCGAAGCCCCGGUGAACGGCGGCCGUAACUAUAACGGUCCUAAGGUAGAUAAAUUCCUUGUCGGGUAAGUUCGGACCCGCACGAAAGGCGUAACGAUCUAGGCACUGUCUCGGAGAGAGGCUCGGUGAAAUAGACAUGUCUGUGAAGAUGCGGACUACCUGCACCUGGACAGAAAGACCCUAUGAAGNNNNNNNNNNNNNNNNNNNNNNNGGGGGGGGGGGGGGGCGAGCCAUCAGUGAGAUACCACUCUGGAAGAGCUCGGAUUCUAACCUUGUGUUAGACCCGCGGGCCAAGGGACAUUCUCAGGUAGACAGUUUCUAUGAGGCGUAGGCCUCCCAAAAGGUAACGGAGGCGUGCAAAGGUUUCCUCGGGCCAGACAGACAUUGGUCCUCGAGUGCAAAGGCAGAAGGGAGAUUGACUGCAAGAUUCACCCGUCGAGCAGAGACGAAAGUCGGCCUUAGUGAUCCGACGGUGCCGAGUGGAAGGGUCGUCGCUCAACGGAUAAAAGUUACUCUAGGGAUAACAUGCUGAUCUUCCCCAAGAGUCCACAUCGACGGGAAGGUUUGGCACCUCGAUGUCGGCUCUUCGCCACCUGGAUCUGUAGGUGGUUCCAAGGGUUGGGCUAUUUGCCCAUUAAUGCGGUACGUGAGCUGGGUUCAGAACGUCGUGAGACAAUUCGGUCCAUAUCCGGUGUGGGCGUUAGAGCAUUGAGAGGACCUUUCCCUAGUACGAGAGGACCGGGAAGGAUGCACCUCUGGUGUACCAGUUAUCGUGCCUACGGUAAAUGCUGGGUAGCCAAGUGCGGAGAGGAUAACUGCUGAAAGCAUAUAAGUAGUAAGCCCACCCCAAGAUGAGUGAUCUCUCCUCCGACUUCCCUAGAGCCUCCGGUAUCACAGCCGAGACAGCGACCGGUUCUCCACCCAUACGGGGAUGGAGCGACAGAAGUAUGGAAAUAGGAUAAGGUAGCGGCGAGACGAGCCGUUUAAAUAGGUGUCAAGUGGAAGUGCAGUGAUGUAUGUAGCUGAGGCAUCCUAACGAACG
rnacentral:ncRNA from 1 species